GAUUCCCAAAGUCACAUUCCCGGGAAUACAUUUAUAAUCCAUGAAACAAACACCCCGAGUCUCACCGAGGAACCUUGAAUCGGCGAUCAGUUGAACUGCGAUGCUGCGAACCCUAAAUCCCCAAUCGGGGUUCUAGCUCCUCCGACCGUCGGCGCUGUCGCGGUUUGUCACCGAUUUUGAAGUUCCUCUCAGGUGUGUUUCAAUUGCUCAGUCUCUCUUUCCGUUUUGCACAGUUCCAAUUCAUACUGUAGCGGACUGUCUUAGGGAUUUCAUUUUGGUUUUGUGGGCUGGUUGUGUUGUGUGUGACUGUGCUUUUUAUGAGCUUAUACGAUCGAGUUUGUAGCUAAGAAAGGAAAUGUCGUUCGACAAUCAACCAUUUUUUAUGAUAUCUUGGAUCCUUUUGGGGGUGAUGUCUCAUUUGGUUUAUCCAUGUCAACUACAUUAGAAGAUUCUCAACUAGUUUUUAAUCACAACGGUAUUAGAAAAGUCAAAGUUAAUGAGGUGAAGGAGUAUGAGAAUUUCAUGUCUGUUCUAAAGGAGUGCUAGCAACACACUCUUUAACAAACACACUCUAACACGCUCUUUUUUAUUAGUUAAAAUUUAUAUGGGUUCCAUAAAAGUUAUAUGGGUCCAUAUUUUUUUAUGGGACCCAUGUGAAUUUCAACCAAUAAAAGAAAGUGUGUUGGAGUGUGUUUGUUAAAUAGUGUGUUGGUAGCAUUAUUCGUCUGUUCCAACUAAUAAUCCCCAUGAUGGAGGAGUUUGCAAAACUGUGUCAAACACUCAUGCGUUCAAGGAAGGCGAUCAUUCAAUAUCAACAAGUCUCACAUACAACCAAGGGGAUGCCGAUGUAAUAUUAGUGGAUGACGCUUUUUACAGGGCAGAUAACAAUUUAAUGUUGAUGAGUCAAUCUUAUAAUAAGGGAGAUGGCAACUUAUCAAUACCUUCAACAUGCAAAGAUAUUUGUAAUUCAAUAUCAAUGGAUCAAGGAUACAGGCAUGAAGAUAGUAAUGUCAUGUCUAUUGCUCAACCUAACAAGGCCCAUGGGAAUUCUAUGUUAAGUAACCACUUAUUCAAUAAGGUUGAAGAUGGCACCAUAUCAAUGGGCCACAUUCACCAUCAGAGGGGAAAUGACAUGCUGUUUUUUUGCUCAUUCUUAUAAUAAAGGUGGAAGGACUAUCAUAUCCUUUGGUGACUGUGAAAAUGACGAUGUAACUCCAUCUGACUUAUUUGUUUCCGACUACGGACUGUUUAUGGGUCAAGCACCUUUGUGUAUGUCGCAUAUGUCACAACUUGCGAAUGAAAAAGAGUUGGUUAGAUCAAGCACUAAACUACUUCCAAGUACAGCUCAGACAUCUGCAUCCGAAACUGAAAAUGUUACCAUGACAAAAGAGGAGAUGAAAAUGUGUAAAAAGGCUACUUCAAAUAACUUCCCUUCAAACGUUAGAAGUUUGCUAUCCACUGGUAUUACUGGAUGGCGUCUCUGUAAAGUAUAAAGCAUGGUCACGGGAGGUAAAAUUUAGUAUUCCUGACGAGUUCAUCUUUCCAGUAGCUUAUCUUUGAUCACAUGUCUGGUUUUUCCUAUGCCUGAUAGAAGGAACUUCGAGCUGUUAUAAAAGGUGCUGGGUAUUUGUGCAGCUGUCCGUCGUGUAGUUUUUCUAAGGCAAGUUUGUUUAGUCAUCAUAGAGGAGAAUCCUUUUGAAGCCAACUUGCUAUCUCUAAUAUUGCAUUUCUUCAGGUUAUUAACGCAUUCGAGUUUGAACGGCAUGCUGGUUGCAAGACAAAGCACCCAAAUAAUCAUAUUUACUUUGAGAAUGGGAAAACCAUAUAUGGAGUGGUACAAGAACUCAGGAUAACUCCACAGAAUAUGUUAUAUGUUAUUUGAAGUUAUUCAAACAAUAACUGGUUCACCUAUCAAUCAGAAAUCCUUCCGCAUCUGGAAAGAAUCCUUAUUGGCUGCAGCACACGAGCUCCGGCGCAUAUGUGGAAAAGAUGAGUCCCAAUAUAUAAAGAAGUGUAACAAACAUCCCAGCUUUGAUCAAUACAAGUAAUAAUUAAAUUAGGAGGAAAAAAUAAGACAACACAUGUAUAAGAGUGAAACACUACACCUAGUGGGACCCACACAUAAUCAAAUACUUUGACUCAUUCUCCUCAUUUACCAAAUGAGACAAACUCACCCUCAAUUCACUCUUCCUCUCUCUCUCUCUCUCUCUCUCUCUCUCUCUCUCUCUCUCUCUCUCGGAACAACAACAACAUCAAUUGGACAAGACUUGCAUGCAACUUAGCACUCAAUCCACAAUCAAUUGGACAAGAUGAAGCAAGAAUCACCUCUCAAUUUCUCUAUUCUGUCCCUCUUGGAAAACAACUAUCUUCCACCCCCAAUCUUCAUCUUUCUUUAAUGUUCAAGAUGCAUGUGGCUGUUUCUUCCAAUAUUAAGCUUUAAGGGGUCAAAUUCGAAGUGAAAAGAUGAAAGAGUCUCGUUUUGGUCUCACCUAGUUCGUGAGUGGGGUAACUAAAUCAAUUUUCCUCUUGUCAUUAGAUUGUAAAUUAUAAUUACAAGUUGUCUGAACAAUGGAAAAAUUUACAAAUGACACGUGUAUUCUUGUCGCACACAUUAUGGGAUAGCAUAUGAGGAUUUAAUACUGGGAAGUUAAGGGAGAAGGUUCAAGUUAAGAAAUAAUGCAUACACUGGCUUUGAAGAACAUUGAGAAUUUCAUAAUUGGAAUCGAAGCCUAAGAAGAAAUUGAAGGGAUUAAUGACCGAGGUACAUGGUACAAGUUUCGUGAGAUUUGGAUCAGUAUUGAAGUCGGUAGACGCUUCUGAAGUCAGAGUACUGAUGCUGUCAAAAUUCUGGUUUUGGGACUGCGGGUUUGCGCUUCAAGCGGCACGAACAGAUGUUCGAGAAUGUACUGAACGACUCGGCAAUGCUAGAAAUUAAGAUAGGCCUACAGGACGUGGUGAGAAGUCCAUGGAAUAGUAGCUGAUGAAGUUGCUUCAGUUGCUUAUUUUCACAUUUCCUUGUAUUAUGUAUCAUGUAUUUCAGACAUGUUGUAGUACACUUGUGACAUUUAUGUAUUAAGCUUAAGACAUCAGUACUAUUUAUGUGUUAAGAACUUUGGAUGUAGGUGAAUCCUAUUGUAAUUUUUGAUGUAUUCCAGUACCAUUAUGUAUAUUCUAUAUCGUAUUCUAGAUAUUCGAUAUGGGAUGUUAUAAGAA